AAUCCUCAUGAUAAUCAUCAAUUCUGGAUAUCCAGUCUGGUUUCGGUCCUCGAAAGCAGCAGCUCUUGCUUCGGGGAGAAACCGUUGCCGGAACUGGUUGCUGCCCCCGUCUGGCUACCUUCAAUCCUUGUUCAACGAUUCAGCUCAUCUCCCCAUCUUCGUCCGUCAACGACGACGAUGUUCCUAAGUCCAUUUUUUGGCCAAUUGGGAACUCGUUUCUCCUUCGAUCCAGAUUAUUUCUUUGACAACUGUUUCUGGGUUCUUCUAUUUUGUCGGAAGUUAGUUUAAAAUUCGACCGACUCUCAGUUUGCUACGCAUGUUCACACUUUCUGAUGGCGAAAACGGUUUCUCCCCGGAACAAGAGCUUCUACUUUAAGGACGACGAUCAUCGUGAUGAUGGGUGGUUUUUAUAUUGCAAAUAAAAAAAAAAGUAUUUUUAACUAAUUAUAGAAAAAUUUUAGCUUUAGCCAAAAGUUAAAAAAAAAAUUUAUCAAUCACUUAAUGAGUUAAAUGUGCCACGUCAUCAAUUCGUUAGUGAAUUAAUAAAACUUUUAAUGGAGUGAUCAAUU